GGUUUUGGAUGGACUCGCGGCCUAUCAGCUUGUUGGUGGGGUAAUGGCCUACCAAGGCGACGACGGGUAGCCGGCCUGAGAGGGUGACCGGCCACACUGGGACUGAGACACGGCCCAGACUCCUACGGGAGGCAGCAGUGGGGAAUAUUGCACAAUGGGCGAAAGCCUGAUGCAGCGACGCCGCGUGAGGGAUGACGGCCUUCGGGUUGUAAACCUCUUUCAGUAGGGAAGAAGCCGCAAGGUGACGGUACCUGCAGAAGAAGCGCCGGCUAACUACGUGCCAGCAGCCGCGGUAAUACGUAGGGCGCAAGCGUUAUCCGGAAUUAUUGGGCGUAAAGAGCUCGUAGGCGGUUUGUCGCGUCUGCCGUGAAAGUCCGGGGCUCAACUCCGGAUCUGCGGUGGGUACGGGCAGACUAGAGUGAUGUAGGGGAGACUGGAAUUCCUGGUGUAGCGGUGAAAUGCGCAGAUAUCAGGAGGAACACCGAUGGCGAAGGCAGGUCUCUGGGCAUUAACUGACGCUGAGGAGCGAAAGCAUGGGGAGCGAACAGGAUUAGAUACCCUGGUAGUCCAUGCCGUAAACGUUGGGCACUAGGUGUGGGGGACAUUCCACGUUUUCCGCGCCGUAGC
rnacentral:rRNA from 1 species